AUUAUAUUAGGUUAAAUUAGACCAACGUUUUUCAAAAACGGAAGUUUUAAAUAAUA
rnacentral:tRNA from 1 species